rnacentral:rRNA from 1 species
UACGUAGGGUGCAGGCGUUAAUCGGAAUUACUGGGCGUAAAGCGUGCGCAGGCGGUUUGCUAAGACAGGUGUGAAAUCCCCGGGCUUAACCUGGGAACUGCGCUUGUAACUGGCAAGCUAGAGUGUGGCAGAGGGGGGUGAAAUUCCACGUGUAGCAGUGAAAUGCGUAGAGAUGUGGAGGAACACCGAUGGCGAAGGCAGCCCCCUGGGCUAACACUGACGCUCAUGCACGAAAGCGUGGGGAGCAAACAGG